UACGUAGGGGGCUAGCGUUGUCCGGAAUCAUUGGGCGUAAAGCGCGCGUAGGCGGUCAGGUAAGUCCGGUGUGAAAGUCAAAGGCUCAACCUUUGAAUGCCGCUGGAUACUGCCUGACUUGAGUCCGGAAGGGGCGAGUGGAAUUCCUGGUGUAGCGGUGAAAUGCGUAGAUAUCAAGAGGAACACCUGCGGCGAAGGCGGGUUGCUGGGCUGACACUGACGCUGAGGCGCGAAAGCUAGGGGAGCGAACGGG
rnacentral:rRNA from 1 species